rnacentral:rRNA from 1 species
GACAGAGGGUGCAAACGUUGUUCGGAAUUACUGGGCGUAAAGCGUGUGUAGGCGGUUUGGCAAGUCGGAUGUGAAAGCCCCGGGCUCAACUCGGGAAGUGCACUCGAUACUGCUAGACUGGAGUGUCGGAGAGGUUGGUGGAAUUCUCGGUGUAGAGGUGAAAUUCGUAGAUAUCGAGAGGAACACCGGUGGCGAAGGCGGCCAACUGGACGAACACUGACGCUGAGACACGAAAGCGUGGGGAGCAAACAGG